rnacentral:lncRNA from 1 species
CAGACUGAAUCAUGUUCUCUUUAUGCAAUGGUGUUUUACAUGUUAGCACAGACAAGUGGCAUCUAGAAGAGAAGCCAAUCCUUUUCUGUUGUUUUUGUUCCUACUCUGGUAGCGCCUUUGGUCAAGGUCUGUGUCCUAAGUGUAUACAGAUGAAAUAACAGCAAGACUCUGGCCUGGAUCAUUUAAGCCUCAAACCUUAGCAUUGCAGAUAGGUAGACAGAACUAACUAGGAUGUGAAUCCCUGAACCCUUGUUUGAUUUUUUUUUUUUUUUUUUUUUUCCCAAAACAGACCAGGGUAGAAGUUAGAAAUGGUCUCUAUCUCCAUUUCAUAAUUUGAAAAGUACUGUUUGUAGACAUAUAGACAGACAGCAGCUAAGUUAAUAUAUAUAUACAUGCAUAUAUAUAUGUAUAAAUAGUUGCGUAACAUACAUAGAAACUAAAUUGUUUAUCUGAGGUUACAGAUUAUAUAUGUGGAAGAGACGUGGUUUGAACUUACUCAGUUUAACUCCACAGUGCUGUCUCUUCUGCACUUACUCAACCCAGGACUUGACUGCUAAGCAUAUUGUUUCUUUCAUUGUGUCUCUCCCAAGACCAAGACCUCCCUGCAGGUCUGUGGUCUUGUGGCCAACUGGAGAAAGACCAAUGCACCUCCUGAAGGCAUCUCACAUAGCUUACUCCAUCUCACAUGGGAUAAGAUGGCUGCAAAGAAAUAAGCAGAUGGAUAAAUAGUUGCAUAACAUUUAGGUAGCUGAUGGUAGCUGUGGCCAUGGGGGAGCCCAUCCUUUAUGACUGCUUUAUGCUUGUCCAUAGCCUCAGUGAAUUCCCUAAAUCUUAAACUAAGAAAGUGUGGGUCUGUACAGAAUUAUUGUUAGUUCUCUUCAGGUCUCACCUCUCAGCUUGUCAUUACUGGAUAUCUGAAUUAUUUUUUACUGAGCCAAAUUUAGACCAUUAUUCAUAUAACUUAAACAUUAAGUGCUGUUGAUUGGCAUUCAGUGCCUUGGGGGAUGCAAUGUGACAAAAAAGCAAACAGCUUGCUCAUCAGUAAAUAAGAACUAAUACAGAUGGCUUUCUUACAGCUAAAGUUCCAUUUACUUUGAAAAAUUAAUGAUUUAUUCUAUUAAAAUAUCUCUCUGGAAGUACACUUUAUUGAGUUAUUGGCUGACAUUUUGAUUUUCUUCAUCAGGGGAAAUGAAACACACAAACACUGUAACCUUUCCUUUUGCAUUCAAUGGUAUGUGAUGAAGGUCACAAUGCAGUUACUAUAGUUUUUCACUCUGGUAUUACAUUGUUUAAAUAAUGUCAUAAUGUUAUUUUUACAUAGUUGGCAGUUUAUGGGUUCUCUGUAUUCAAGCUGUGAUUUUUGUAUUUCCUGCUAUGCUUGAUCAUUAUUGUAAUACUUUGAUGUCAGUAAUCAAUUUGUAUGUUUUUUUCUUUUUUUUUUUUUUUUUUUUUUUUAAAGCACACAGAUCUCAGCACAUGCAGCCCAAUUAUCUGUACAGAAUAAUUCCUCUUUGCUUCUAUAACUGUGUCUUGCUCUGAAUUCUCACCGAGCAAGGUAUAACUCCAGGAAUGGUAGAAGUGCAGAAGUGGUAGAAUUAAAGCUAUGAAGUAGGCUUUAAACUUAAGCAUUUAAGUAUGCUGAAGUGGUUCAGGAGUCUCUCAUCUUUUUGAAAUUCAGUGGAACUCAGAUUCUUAAAUGCCUGCCUGACUUUUAAAAAAUGAGACUUAC